CGCGGAGCCACGCCCCCCCCCCGGCGCGCCGCGCGCACCCGGUGGCCGGGCCGGGGCCGCGCGGGGAGCUCCUGGGAAAUGGAGUCCGCGGCGCCGCCAUCUUGGAGCGGGGACGGAGGGACGGAGGGAGGCCACCCCCUCUCUGGGCCAUGACACUGAGGACACAGUUAUGGGCGCAGGACAGGAACCCCCCCACAAGGAGCCCCUGGAGGGGGACAGCUGCCACCCUGCCCCCAGGACUGGGACCGAGGACGUUGCCAUCCUGGAGCCACCAACGUGUCGUGACCCCUCUGGGUGCAGGUGGGUGUUGGGGGUGGGGGCUGCUUGAGUUGGGGGUGGUAUGUCUCUGGGGACCUGGCGG
rnacentral:lncRNA from 1 species